UGAGGAAUAUUGGUCAAUGGGCGAGAGCCUGAACCAGCCAAGUCGCGUGAAGGAAGAAGGUUCUAUGGAUUGUAAACUUCUUUUGUAAGGGAAUAAAAAGAGUUACGUGUAACUUAUUGUAUGUACUUUACGAAUAAGGAUCGGCUAACUCCGUGCCAGCAGCCGCGGUAAUACGGAGGAUCCAAGCGUUAUCCGGAUUUAUUGGGUUUAAAGGGUGCGUAGGCGGGCCCUUAAGUCAGUGGUGAAAGUUUGCAGCUUAACUGUAAAAUUGCCAUUGAAACUGAGGGUCUUGAGUGUAAAUAAGGUAGGCGGAAUGUGUUGUGUAGCGGUGAAAUGCUUAGAUAUAACACAGAACACCAAUUGCGAAGGCAGCUUACUGGGAUACAACUGACGCUGAGGCACGAAAGCCAGGGGAGCGAAUG
rnacentral:rRNA from 1 species